UUUCCGAUUUGUGUUUGUGUGCGUGCGCGUGUAGGGAGUAACGAAUUAAACAAAUUUAUUUAAAAAUAUUUACUAGCGUCUCGCGGCGGCCAUAUCGGCCAGAUAUUUCGACUGUUUACAUUUGCUCAAUUUACACGGAGUGAGUCUGCCUUUCAGAAAUACAUAUACCGUAAAUACACCGAUAAAAAAAAAGAACUUGGCCAAGUGGAACCCCCUUUAUUUAAACAGUAUAAUAACUUGAGGAAAAACGCGGAAAUUAGAUCUAUGUAAAUUCUCUUUACUUAACAAAUAAAAACACCACCACAUCUUUCACUGUGCUGAAAUUCUUCAUCA